CAUUUGGAGCGUGCACAUUACCGCGAGGAGUAAAGCAGUGACUUCCGCCAAAAAAAUAAAAAGAAGAAGAAAAAAAAACGGUGAUGACCAACAAAUGUAGGAGGGUGUAGGCCUGAUGUCAAGAUGAACCUGUCAGACAUGACUGUGGGCUCCUAAGGUGAAGAAGAAAAGGCACCCCACCACCAUGCUGCUUACCUUCCAGGGAGGAAUAGCUUGUCCUCAGUUAAACUCAUGGAGGCCAGGUGGAGAGCAGGACACAGAGGAGAGGAGCUUGGCCAGCUACCGACAG